UACGUAGGGGGCUAGCGUUGUCCGGAAUCAUUGGGCGUAAAGCGCGUGUAGGCGGUCCGGUAAGUCCGCUGUGAAAGUCGGGGGCUCAACCCUGGAAAGCCGGUGGAUACUGUCGGGCUAGAGUCCGGAAGAGGCGAGUGGAAUUCCUGGGUGUAGCGGUGGAAUGCGCAGAUAUCAGGAGGAACACCGAUGGCGAAGGCAGCUCGCUGGGACGGUACUGACGCUGAGGCGCGAAAGCGUGGGGAGCGAACAGG
rnacentral:rRNA from 1 species